rnacentral:rRNA from 1 species
GAUGAACGCUGACAGAAUGCUUAACGCAUGCAAGUCUUUGGCGAAGCUGUGCUCGCACAGCCUAGCCAAGGCGGGCGGGUGAGUAACGCGUAAGGAACUUGCCCUGCAGUCAGGGAUAACAGACGGAAACGACUGAUAAGACCUGGUAAAGUCAGGCGGACUCAUGUCCAGCCUGAUGAAAAGAGAUGCUGCAGGAGAGCCUUGCGUCCUAUUAGCUUGUUGGUGGGGUAACGGCCCACCAAGGCGAUGAUAGGUAGCCGGCCUGAGAGGGUGGACGGCCACAAGGGGACUGAGAUACGGCCCUUACUCCUACGGGAGGCAGCAGUGGGGAAUAUUGGACAAUGGGGGCAACCCUGAUCCAGCAAUUCUGUGUGCACGAUGAAGGUUUUCGGAUUGUAAAGUGCUUUCAGCAGGGAAGAAAAAAAUGACGGUACCUGCAGAAGAAGCGACGGCUAAAUACGUG